rnacentral:rRNA from 1 species
ACCUGAAACCGUGUACGUACAAGCAGUGGGAGCCUCUUUUAUGGGGUGACUGCGUACCUUUUGUAUAAUGGGUCAGCGACUUAUAUUCUGUAGCAAGGUUAACCGAAUAGGGGAGCCGAAGGGAAACCGAGUCUUAACUGGGCGUUAAGUUGCAGGGUAUAGACCCGAAACCCGGUGAUCUAGCCAUGGGCAGGUUGAAGGUUGGGUAACACUAACUGGAGGACCGAACCGACUAAUGUUGAAAAAUUAGCGGAUGACUUGUGGCUGGGGGUGAAAGGCCAAUCAAACCGGGAGAUAGCUGGUUCUCCCCGAAAGCUAUUUAGGUAGCGCCUCGUGAAUUCAUCUCCGGGGGUAGAGCACUGUUUCGGCAAGGGGGUCAUCCCGACUUACCAACCCGAUGCAAACUGCGAAUACCGGAGAAUGUUAUCACGGGAGACACACGGCGGGUGCUAACGUCCGUCGUGAAGAGGGAAACAACCCAGACCGCCAGCUAAGGUCCCAAAGUCAUGGUUAAGUGGGAAACGAUGUGGGAAGGCCCAGACAGCCAGGAUGUUGGCUUAGAAGCAGCCAUCAUUUAAAGAAAGCGUAAUAGCUCACUGGUCGAGUCGGCCUGCGCGGAAGAUGUAACGGGGCUAAACCAUGCACCGAAGCUGCGGCAGCGACGCUUAUGCGUUGUUGGGUAGGGGAGCGUUCUGUAAGCCUGUGAAGGUGUGCUGUGAGGCAUGCUGGAGGUAUCAGAAGUGCGAAUGCUGACAUAAGUAACGAUAAAGCGGGUGAAAAGCCCGCUCGCCGGAAGACCAAGGGUUCCUGUCCAACGUUAAUCGGGGCAGGGUGAGUCGACCCCUAAGGCGAGGCCGAAAGGCGUAGUCGAUGGGAAACAGGUUAAUAUUCCUGUACUUGGUGUUACUGCGAAGGGGGGACGGAGAAGGCUAUGUUGGCCGGGCGACGGUUGUCCCGGUUUAAGCGUGUAGGCUGGUUUUCCAGGCAAAUCCGGAAAAUCAAGGCUGAGGCGUGAUGACGAGGCACUACGGUGCUGAAGCAACAAAUGCCCUGCUUCCAGGAAAAGCCUCUAAGCAUCAGGUAACAUCAAAUCGUACCCCAAACCGACACAGGUGGUCAGGUAGAGAAUACCAAGGCGCUUGAGAGAACUCGGGUGAAGGAACUAGGCAAAAUGGUGCCGUAACUUCGGGAGAAGGCACGCUGAUAUGUAGGUGAAGCGACUUGCUCGUGGAGCUGAAAUCAGUCGAAGAUACCAGCUGGCUGCAACUGUUUAUUAAAAACACAGCACUGUGCAAACACGAAAGUGGACGUAUACGGUGUGACGCCUGCCCGGUGCCGGAAGGUUAAUUGAUGGGGUCAGCGCAAGCGAAGCUCUUGAUCGAAGCCCCGGUAAACGGCGGCCGUAACUAUAACGGUCCUAAGGUAGCGAAAUUCCUUGUCGGGUAAGUUCCGACCUGCACGAAUGGCGUAAUGAUGGCCAGGCUGUCUCCACCCGAGACUCAGUGAAAUUGAACUCGCUGUGAAGAUGCAGUGUACCCGCGGCAAGACGGAAAGACCCCGUGAACCUUUACUAUAGCUUGACACUGAACAUUGAGCCUUGAUGUGUAGGAUAGGUGGGAGGCUUAGAAGUGUGGACGCCAGUCUGCAUGGAGCCGACCUUGAAAUACCACCCUUUAAUGUUUGAUGUUCUAACGUUGACCCGUAAUCCGGGUUGCGGACAGUGUCUGGUGGGUAGUUUGACUGGGGCGGUCUCCUCCUAAAGAGUAACGGAGGAGCACGAAGGUUGGCUAAUCCUGGUCGGACAUCAGGAGGUUAGUGCAAUGGCAUAAGCCAGCUUGACUGCGAGCGUGACGGCGCGAGCAGGUGCGAAAGCAGGUCAUAGUGAUCCGGUGGUUCUGAAUGGAAGGGCCAUCGCUCAACGGAUAAAAGGUACUCCGGGGAUAACAGGCUGAUACCGCCCAAGAGUUCAUAUCGACGGCGGUGUUUGGCACCUCGAUGUCGGCUCAUCACAUCCUGGGGCUGAAGUAGGUCCCAAGGGUAUGGCUGUUCGCCAUUUAAAGUGGUACGCGAGCUGGGUUUAGAACGUCGUGAGACAGUUCGGUCCCUAUCUGCCGUGGGCGCUGGAGAACUGAGGGGGGCUGCUCCUAGUACGAGAGGACCGGAGUGGACGCAUCACUGGUGUUCGGGUUGUCAUGCCAAUGGCACUGCCCGGUAGCUAAAUGCGGAAGAGAUAAGUGCUGAAAGCAUCUAAGCACGAAACUUGCCCCGAGAUGAGUUCUCCCUGACCCUUUAAGGGUCCUGAAGGAACGUUGAAGACGACGACGUUGAUAGGCCGGGUGUGUAAGCGCAGCGAUGCGUUGAGCUAACCGGUACUAAUGAACCGUGAGG